rnacentral:lncRNA from 1 species
UCCCAUUGGGAAUUCCAGUCUGGCUUCUUGGCAAUGGGUGCCUGGGCAACAGAGCAACAGAGCAACAGAGCAAGGUGGAGGAGAGAAGCCCUCCUGGUACCCAUCCCCACACCAGCAAGAGGGAGCGCCAGACUCACAGCCUACCAUCCCCUCCAGCCCCAGCCCACCUGACCUACAUCAGCCACCUUCUGAUUGAUUCUGUUUUUUCCUGGGGAAAAGGCCAAAAAGCCAUCUAGGCCUCAACCCCAGCAUCUCUGAACCUCUGACCCAGCCCUGGACUUCCCAAUUUCAGACUUCUUUCAGCUCCUGCUUCUUCGUCACAGGUACACCAGGGCAUCCAGCACAUUGAUUUGUCCCCACUCGCCUUAGCCUGUCUCCUGCCACAGUUGUCUCAUUUUGGUGAAGUGCGUGUCCAGGUUUCCCCGUGCUCCCAGCUGCAACAUGGAUCUGUGAAAGACAGUACAGCAGAAAAGUCUUCACAUCCUGGCUCUCUCUGCCCUUCAUUGUCUUUAAGCUCUUUAACAACUUUUACUUGGAGAGGAAAACAACUCUCUAGACAGGAACACGGAGCAGCAGAGGGAGAAAUUGUGUCUUUACUGAUUUCAGUCAAUUAUUGCAGUGACCACAUGUCUCAGGAGUGUUGAUGUCCAGAUGAGGGCUGACCCAUGAAAGGUCAGCAAGGAAAAAGGAGGACCUAAACUUUCCUCGGUUUGCAAGUUGUAAAAGACCCAUGGAAUGCCAACUAUCCUUGUCCAUGGACAUGUGGACAGACUGUCCAGUGGCUAUCAUCAAUUUUGCAUCUAUUUGUAAAUUCUAUGUCAGCAUUCCUAUUGUCCUAGCUAUGCGUGGCAUUUUUAAUUCUCCUUUGGGCUGGUUGUAGCAUCUUACUGGUUCCCUCAUUAAUUAAUGAACUAAAUAAAAUCUUUGACAUGUGUUCAUUUUA